GUCCCCUUUUCUAAUAAAUUUAUCCAAUUCUAGUCUCCUCCUUUCUCCCUUCACCCCUUCUUCUUCCCUCCCCUAUGGGUUUCUUCCCAUAGUUGUUAUAUCUCAAUUAGUCCUUUUGAAUCUCAAAUUCAUCAUCUGAAAAGCUUAUAAUUGGAGUAAUGUAUAGGGUUGUGAUAAGGAUUAAGUGAGAUAAACAUAUUCAAUACAUUAGUCCUAUUUUCCUUACGUCAUCUCAUGUUUUCCUCUUCCCUGUUGACUUCCAAUUCUCCCUGCUUCCCCUCCCUCCCGUUCUCCACGGAGACUGAAGGCGAGGCUGGAUCAGGCCCAGACGUGUGGAACGGGUGUGGGAAAUGGGCGGUUCCUCGAUUCAUUCCUCCCUCUUUGGACGCCACCCUUUGAAGAUGACUGCCGUGAUGAUUGGCUCUUAACAUCUUUCGGCUAAUAAUAUCCUGCCACUGGCCUCUGUGAGUGACCAGCUCUUGAAUUACUUACUUUAAGGAACUCCUCACUGGGUGUGUGAUCACACUUUGGAAUCCUACAGCAAAUAAACUCAAUACUGUAAGCUGAUUCUAUUUGAGGCCAUGCCUAUACUCAGCAACAUUAAAAAUGUACCAGCCUGAGCUGAGGGCUCCUUGGGCAGGUCAUAGAGUGGACUCACAGUGUUCAUCUGGCUCUUGGUUCGAGCUUAGAGAUCUGGCUUCUCCUGAGGACUGCCUGGGAGUCAGGGCCCCACAUAGUCUAGGAUUCUAUGGGAAAACCCCUCCUGGGCCAGAGCUAGGCUGGCUGCCUUGACACAGAAGCGAUCCUUCUGGCUGCAAUGCUGCCUCCCUUAACACUGACAUCUGGAUUGAUUGCUUGAUCCACUUGUUUAUAUGGCAACUAUUUACUGUGAUGCCUGCUGGGGCACAGGGUUUUGAUAAUAAAAGUCUAGACCCCUCCCCCCACUCAGGACAACUCUGAAGGGUUACUCCAGUUUCAAAGCUCUCAUGCGCCUGCUGAGCUCUUUGUUCUGACUGUAUCACAGCCCAGCCUCUGCUCUGCCUAGUGCUGUGUCUUUCACUUCCCCCACAGGUGCUGCCCCUGAGCCCUCCUUAUUAAUGUCCUUCAUGUCAAUCUCAUCCCAGAGUCUGCUUCCUGAGCCUGUUCUACAGCAUGGGACAUAGACUGAGACAUACAUGUUGUAAAAUCCUGGCUCUAGCAGGUAGUGGUUGAGUGAAUUUGAGCAAGUUAUUUAACCUAAGUUUCACUUUUCAUGAAGGGAGGGGGGGGGAGACACGAAACAAAACAUUAUUGUGAGGAUUAAAUGGGUCUGUAUACAAUAUAAUGUAUAACUACCUGGACCACUGAAACAGCUCAGCAAAUGAUAGUCAUGCAGCAACAGAAACCAAAAACACUGCUUCCUGGGGUCAUUGUGAACAUUAAAUCAGAGAGUGCAUGCAAAUUGAUUGACAUAGUGCUAGGUAAAUAUUACUACCUUUACAGAAAAGAAUGAGCUAAUUACUUGGGGAGAUAAAACCUGGGUACAAAUAACCCCAAUACUACACAGGCAUCACAUGUCAGGCUCUUGUUACCUGUCAGGCUCUCUAUAGGAUCAUAAAAUCUCCAAGUAGAAAAGAAUCUUGGAAUUCUCCCAGUUCAACUUUUUACCCAGCGAGGACAUUCCUUCUUGAAUGUUUGUUUAACCCAACAAUUAUUUAUUAACCCUGCUCUGUGCCAAGAAGUGUAGUGAAUGGAAAUGCUGACAGAGAUGAUUACAAUGCAGUCCAGUGCCAGGGCAAACGCAGGGACAGUUUCUGCACAGCGUGAUAUCUUCAGAGGAGAGGGACACCUUUCCCCUGCAUCGAAUGAGCUCCUCAAGGUUGCAGGGAAAGAAGCUGAUAUCUGAGCUCCCGGUGCUGCAGUCCUAGACUGAAGAGAGAAUGGUAAGGGGAAGAAAGAAGUUCAACAGUUAGGAAAGGGACUCUGUAUAGCAAGCAUGUCAAACCCGCGGCCCACAGACCACAUACGGCCUACAACCAAUAUUUUUGCCACCCAGCCAAAAUAAUGGUAUGUAAGAAACAUCUUAAAA